rnacentral:lncRNA from 1 species
GUGGCUACAAAGACUUUAUCAAAUUAUUUAAAAUGUUGGCAUUUAAGUAUUCAUGUGUACCCAGUUACAUGGAACCUUCAGGUCAAUGGGGCGCAAAGGUGGUAUACACACGAUGAGCCUGGCAGGGAAGCAAGUAAGACCAGGCUUGGAGCUACAGGGCUUUAAAAAAAUUGGAUGUCUUUCUGAGGGUCUGAGAAGAACAGGGCAGAAUAGGAAAGGGUCACUUUAGGGGUCUGGCUUAACCCACUGCCCAGAUCUCCAACUGAAGAACUCCUUUCCCAUCCUCAAGGGAAGAGGGCCUGUUUUCAAACAGCGUCCCUACUACACAUACACGCAUUCCCUAAAAUCUUGAUGUGGCAAACACACCCAAGAACCCACUGGAAUACGUCCUUAUAAAUAUGUUUGUAUCAGAGAAAACAAGGCACUUCGGGAGCAUUAUGGCUUACUCUACUACAUGUACAUCAUUCUAGACAGAAAGUAAAACUUGGUUAGUUCCUCAAGUGAAUUAACUGAAUAAACUUAAUACAAUAACACAAUUGUUCCCUAACCCACACUGAGGCACAGUUAAAGUGAACAUGGCAGGAGGCACACAAUGAGGCACAUCUCUGUGCGACACCUGGUCCCAGGUCAGCUGGACCCCAGCAGGGCUCAAAGCCUGAUGCCUCCAGGAAGCCUGACAUCUCUCAUGAGCAAAGCCCCCUGGCCUUGGAGCACUGGCUCCCUCCCUCCCCAUGCCCUGAGGUCAGGUGAGGGGCCACAGUGGGAGGUAGUCCUAGAGCAGAGCUGGGACACGGUGGGAAUGCUUAAGCAGGGUCACCAAAACCACAGAGACCUCAAUCUGUCCAAGUUGGCGCUGCAGAGUCGGAGGAUCGGCGCCACGGGAAGAGAUUUCACAUUAGCCCUGACAACACCGCCUCGGCUAUGCAGUGACAUUGGCCAGGGUCGUUUCUGAGGGCGCUCGAGCUUCCACUAGAGGCGAGCUGGAGCCUGGGCCAGCUGCUCUGAGCCUCCAAGGGCUGGCUGAGCCCGCCUCCUCCCCCGAGCUGCUCCUUUGGAAUGUACCCAUCUCACAACCAAGGCAAAGCCACAAGUCGCUUCUGACACUAUUGGAAGCUGGGCCCCAGGGCCACAGGAAUGGGGGCAGGUCCCCUGGGCGGGGUGAACCAGGAAGGGAGGAAACUCCUUGGCUUCAGCGCUUAGGAGUCCUUAUGGUCCAUUGUUCCAUACUCUCACUAGCUUAGGCC